rnacentral:rRNA from 1 species
UUCCGGUUGAUCCCGCCGGAGGUUACUGCUAUCGAGAUUCGACUAAGCCAUGCGAGUUGAAUGUUCUUCGUGAACAUGGCGGACUGCUCAGUAACACGUGGACAACCUACCCUUGGGUCCGGCAUAAUCCCGGGAAACUGGGAAUAAUUCCGGAUAGGUCACCGAUGCUGGAAUGCGCGGUGGCCGAAAGCUCCGGCGCCCGAGGAUGGGUCUGCGGCCUAUCAGGGUUGUAGUGGGUGUAACGUACCUACUAGCCUACGACGGGUACGGGUUGUGAGAGCAAGAGCCCGGAGAUGGAUUCUGAGACACGAAUCCAGGCCCUACGGGGUGCAGCAGGCGCGAAAACUUUACAAUGCGGGAAACCGUGAUAAGGGGAUCUCGAGUGCCAGCAUAUAAUGUUGGCUGUCCAGAUGCCUAAAAAGCAUCUGUUAGCAAGGGCCGGGCAAGACCGGUGCCAGCCGCCGCGGUAACACCGGCGGCCCGAGUGGUAACCGCUAUUAUUGGGUCUAAAGGGUCUGUAGCCGGCCAGGUAAGUCCCUUGGGAAAUCUGGCAGCUCAACUGUCAGGCUGCUAGGGGAUACUGUUUGGCUUGGGACCGGGAGAGGUGAGAGGUACCUUGGGGGUAGGGGUGAAAUCUUGUGAUCCUCGAGGGACCACCAGUGGCGAAGGCGUCUCACCAGAACGGGUCCGACGGUAAGGGACGAAAGCUAGGGGCACGAACCGGAUUAGAUACCCGGGUAGUCCUAGCCGUAAACGAUGCUCGCUAGGUGUCAGUCACGGUGCGACCGUGAUUGGUGCCGUAGGGAAGCCGUGAAGCGAGCCACCUGGGAAGUAUGGCCGCAAGGCUGAAACUUAAAGGAAUUGGCGGGGGGAGCACA